GACCGAUCUGUCGGGGCACAUAUUUAAAUUGGAUUGAUACAGAGAAGAUUAGCAUGGUCUCCGUGCGCAAGGAUGACACGCACUAUCGUGAAGCGUUCCAAUUUUUU